rnacentral:rRNA from 1 species
CCCUCCCUCUUUCUUCCGGCCUCCCCCCUGCACGUCGAGCGCGCCCUUCGGGGUGAGCGGCGGACGGGUGAGUAACGCGUGGGAACGUGCCCUUUUCUACGGAAUAGCCUCGGGAAACUGAGAGUAAUACCGUAUACGCCCUUUGGGGGAAAGAUUUAUCGGAAAAGGAUCGGCCCGCGUUGGAUUAGGUAGUUGGUGGGGUAAUGGCCUACCAAGCCGACGAUCCAUAGCUGGUUUGAGAGGAUGAUCAGCCACACUGGGACUGAGACACGGCCCAGACUCCUACGGGAGGCAGCAGUGGGGAAUCUUAGACAAUGGGGGCAACCCUGAUCUAGCCAUGCCGCGUGAGUGAUGAAGGCCUUAGGGUUGUAAAGCUCUUUCAGCUGGGAAGAUAAUGACGGUACCAGCAGAAGAAGCCCCGGCGAACGCCG